AAUUAACGGAGAUGGGCAAAUAGAAAGUGGAGGGUGAUGUGACCAUCAGCGGGACUCAGGAGCUGACCGGCCCCUCUGCUGGCAUCCUAACCAGCCUUGUCGGACCUCUCCUGGAGUGAAGUUUUCCCCCCCCCGAGUUUCUCUGUGCAGCCUGGAGUUGGUGGUCUGGAACUGAACACCCAGAACCCCUGAGAUCUGCCUGUGUCUCUUUAUUCAUCCACUGGACAUGCUUUAGCCAAAAGGGUGUGAGGGAACGUGACACAUGCAGAAACUUGAGAAGGUGCAGAUGUGUUUCCUUUCUGUUCUUGCUCCUCUGCUGUGGCUGUGAGAGCCUGCCAGGGCUGGCCUGCUGAAGGAGACAUGUGGGGUAGCCCCAGUCCCCUGACUGUCCCAGCUGAGGUGCCUGCAGAUCAGUCAACCUGCCACCAACUGCCAGAAAUGAAAGAGACACCAACUGAGCUCAGAAGAAUCGCCCUGCUGAGCCCAGCCAGAAUCAGUCAUGGACGAGAUGCUUCCUUGUUAGAGCCACCGAGUGUGAGAGUGAUUGUGAAGCUCCAUUAUCAUGGCAAUAAAUCACAGUCUCCAUUUGCACGAGCUUGUCUGAGCUGGGCAGGACCCUAGAAAAUCUCACCUGGUGAUUUUAAAGCUGCUUUUUUUUUUUUUAAGGACCAUUGCAGAUACAUGUUUCAUAUUUCAAUGUUUUAACACAGUUGUUAACUGCUAUAGAAAAUGAAUAAAAAAAUAACAUUGACUCACAUAGAUGGAGAACAGAUUUUCACACACUGGAGGCCACCACAAAUGUGUUAUAACUUGGACUGCCAGGUUAACUAGAUUUUGUUCAGACCUAAGAAAAAACAACCCUCCUUUUCCCCUCUGUGUAACUAAUUGUUACCUGAGACCACUAGACAGAUGUGCCACCAUUUGCCACUAUUUAGCUCUGUGAGUCGGAGAAGGCAAUGGCACCCCACUCCAAUACUCUUGCCUGGAAAAUCCCAUGGACAGAGGAGCCUGGUGGGCUACAGUCCAUGGGGUCUCGAGAGAGUCGGAAACGACUUAGUGACUUCACUUUCACUUUUCACUUUUAUGCAUUGGAGAAGGAAAUGGCAACCCACUCCAGUGUUCUUGCCUGGAGAAUCCCAGGGACGGCAGAGCCUGGUGGGCUGCCGUCUAUGGGGUCGCACAGAGUCGGACACGACUGAUACAACUUAGCAGCAGCAGCUCUGUGAGUGAGAAUUCCUUUCAAAACUGUAAAUUCCAAAUAGACUCCAGAAA
ensembl:lncRNA